UGAACAAGCUUCUUGGACGUGAUGUCUACAAUUGUCACAUGAAGUUGGGUGGACCUAAGACAAUCCCUAAAGGAAAUAAGGAAUCAAGUAAAUAAAUACCCUUUAUUUAUUUCUACUUAUAACAAUAGCAAAUUUGGGUAGUAGCAGAAUUUGGACAGUAACUAAAUAGGCAGUAGUAGAUUUAUUCAGUAGCUAAGGUAGUACUAGAUUUAUUCCAAGCUAGUAAUUUGCUUCCGAUUAUAGUGGCGUCCAACAAAGGCGUCCACAUCAUCACUCCCCCCUCAAGCUCGAAGGUUGGGUAGACGGAGAAGAACUUCCCGGCCGGUUCCCAAGUAGCAUCUUUAAUGGAGGAACCUGCCCAAUGCACUAAGUACUCCCGUGUCCCUCUGUUAAGACAGCUCUGCAGAAUUGUAACAGGUAAAAGGCCUUCACACAUCUAAGGUAAGGUUCCCGCAUUAUCUGGUGGAGAGCCCUUAUAUGACUUUAGCAAUGAGACGUGAAAAACAUCAUGGAUGCGGCUAUCAGGUGGUAAAUCAAGUCUGUAAACAACAGACCGUGCCGCCACCUGAAAUGGACCGAAAUAUUUGGGAAGCAACUUGUGAUGACGUUGACGAGCCACUGACAGUUGAUGAUACGGCUAUAGGCGCAGCCAGACCCAGUCACAAGCUAAUUCACCGUGAGAGGAGUCAAAAGCCAAUUUGGUCCGCUGUUAGGAUUGUAGUAAACGAUCCCUCGCCACCUGAAGCACCUCAUCCCUCUCCAUCAAGGCGCGAUCUACUGCAACAACACGAGUAGAGCCUCCAGAAUAAGAUAGGAGACGAGGGGGCUCUCGUCCGUACACUAGCUAAAAUGGUGUAACCCCCAAAGUAGUAUGGAAAGAUGUGUUGUAGCAAUACUCAGCCCAUGGAAGCUAUUCAAGCCAUUUCUGCGGUUGAUCCCCAACAAGGCAGCGCAGAUACAUUUCAAUGGUACAAUUAACCACCUCCGUUUGUCUAUCAGUAUGUGGGUGGUAGGCUGAAGAAAAAGAUAGCUUGGUUCCAUAAAGUCGGAACAAUUCCCGCCAAAAGGUGCUAAGGAAAACCUUGUCACGAUCAGAGAUAAUAGAUUCAGGUAUUCCGUGAAGAAGAUCGUAUCCACUGAGAUUGUUGUAUAUGGAUGGGCUAGGGGAAUGAAAGAGCAUACUUGGAUAAACGGUCCACAAUUACAAGACUGAUUUACCCUUUACCUCCGGAAAACCCUCAAUAAAGUCCAUGGAGAUGUCUGCCCAUACUUGUUCGGGGAUGGAAAGAGGUUAAUGUAGUCCUGCUUGCAAGUUCUGCCAUUUGUUGCGUUGACACAUUGUCGCACAAAGGUCAAGAUAUCCCGCUUCAUACCUGACCAAGAGAAGUCGGCACGAAGGCGGUGUAAUGUCUUUUGUAUCCCCUCAUGCCUCGCCUCAUGAAAAACUGCGAUCACUGUGGGAAGCAGCGGAGAUUUGCCGGGAAGGAAAACGCGACCCUUGUAGAAGAUUAAGCCAUCCCGAGUUUCCCACUCGGGGCCCUCCUCUCCACUUUGAACUCGGCGUAGUAACCCGAACAACUCAGAAUUGGUGUUCACUUCGCUUCGUAUCUUAUCAAAGAUCUCUGCAUAGGAAAUAGAAAGAGCCAUUAUAAUAGGUUCCUCCUCGUGACAGCGGGAGAGGGCGUCUGCGGCACGAUUCAAAUGGCCCGCCUUCAAUUCCACUGGGAAGUCGAAGCCAAUCAGCUUGCUGAUCCAAUGUUGUUGGGGUGAUUGGUGAUGUGUUGCUCCAACAAGUACUUCAAACUAUAAUGGUUUGUUCAUAUCAGAAAGUGGCAACCCCAUAGGUACGACCUCCAAUGGAUAACAGCUUUGGCCAAACCAAUGAGUUCUCGUUCAUAUGUUGCUAAUUUGAGAUGAUGCUCUGCUAUUUUUGGACUGAAGAAAGCAAUGGGGUGCCCUAGUUGUUGAAGAACUGCUCCAAAUCCACUCCCUGAAGCGUCACACUCUACUACAAAUUCUUCGAAAAAAUUAGGCAAACUAAGCACUGGUGCUUCUGGUAGGGACUUCUUUAAUUGCCCAAAUGCCUCUUCAACCUCUUGGGACCAUUGGAAUGCAUUCUUCCUAAGAAGACUCGUGAGAGGGGUUGUGAUUUGCUCGUAAGCCUGGAUGAAUUUGCGGUUAGUCCGAGAAAUCCCCUGAGAGCUUUGCAAGUUUGAGGUUUGGGCCACUCCUCAAUUGCCUAGAUUUGUUGUGAUCCACCUUGACCUCUCGGGAAUGGAUAACAUGACCCAAGUAGGAUACUUGGGACUAACCAAAGGAACACUUGGAUUUUUUUAGAAAUAAAAGGUUAGCCUUUAACAAUUCAAAGACAUGCCGACAAUGUCCCAAGUGAGUAUCCCUCGUGGGGCUAUAGGUCAAGAUAUCAUCAAAGAAAACCAAAAUGAACUUACGGAGAUAUGGCUGAAAAAUGUCGACUGAUCCGUCGGCGCGGACGAAUUAUAGUGAUUUGUUCCAAUCCGAGACAUAAACAGAGACAAGGAUAACCCUUUCAAAAAAAACUUUUUAAAAUAAAGGAAGAACAAAAGGGGGAUUUCUUUUAACAUGAAAUGGAUAUUUCUGUAUCUUUUCUUUUUGUAUAUUUCUGACAUAGUUAUGAGAUGAUAAAAUAUGACAAAAGCUAUACCAAGAAUUGGUUCAUGUAGGAAUGGGCGUAUUGGUUCACGUAAGAAUGGACGUAGAAUACCAAAAGGAAUUAUUCCUGUUCAAGCAAGUUUGAACAAUACUAUUGUAACUAUUACAGAUGUACGAGGUCGAGUGAUUUCUUGGGCCUCCACUGGUACUUCUGAAUUCAAAGGCCCAAGAAGAGGGACACCAUUAGUAGUGCUUGAAAGGUUGACGGGGGCGUUGGUGAGGCCGAACGGCAUGACCAGGAACUCAAAGUGUCCAUGGUGGGUACGGAAGGCUGUCUUCUCGAUAUCCCUCGGGUCCAUCCGAAUCUGGUGGUAUCCGGAGUGCAAGUCUAGUUUGGUGAAGUACCGCGCCCCAUGGAGCUCGUCAAGUAAUUCCUCCACUAUUGGAAUGGGAAACUUGUCCUUAAUAGUACGGUUGUUGAGCUCACGAUAAUCGAUACAAAAAUGCCACAAGCCAUCCUAUUUUUUUACCAGAAUAACUGAUGACGAAAAAGGCGACUUACUAGGGUGGAUGAUACCCUGGAUGAGCAUCUGGGUGCAUUGUCGCUCGAUCUCAUCCUUCUGCAGCUGCGGUGAUCACAGUUUCAAGGUGGAGGGAGGCCUGCAGGUUCUUGAAAUACAUAAUCCUCAAGCAAUGACUCCAGUUUGUUUCCCAUGAAUUCCUCGCUGCGUAUAAUGGCUGUACCUGGCUUUUCCAACAGGUGACCACGCCAGAGGACCUCCUUGCCCACCAGGACAAACUUCAUCGUCAAGGAACGGAAGUCCCAUAUAAUGGGGCCUAGGGUGCACAUCCAUUUAACUUCCAAAACCAUGUCAAACCCCUCCAACGGAAGCAUAUAGAGAUCAACAGAAGGUAUCUUUGCCCACCUGUAGGGGUACCGACUUGCAGAGGCCUAAGCUUGGCACACGCUCUCCGUUGGCAACACAUACAUACCUUCAGGCUCCGGUCGCUUUUGAAUCUCCACCUUCAGGUCUGGCACUAGCCCUUCACGCACGAAGUUGUGUGCGCUUCCUGAAUCCACCAAUACCGAGACAGGUAUCCCAUGUGAUGCGGCCAACAGCUGCAUUGUUUGUGAGUUUCUAACCCCACUGAUAGCAUGGAGGGAAAUUUCUGGGUGCGUCUCCCCCUCUUCCUCACCUUCACUGUCAUCAUCCAGUAUUUCAAUUCAGAAUAGGCGCUUACACUUGUGACCCGUGGAGUAGGACUCGUCACAAUUAAAACAGAGACCUUAAGAUCUUCGUUCUGCCAUCUCCGCACGGGAUAGAUGCUUGAAGAAUGAGGUAGGUGGAGUCCCUUUGCUGUUGUCCCCCAUGGCCUUGGUCUUUGCUACAGGAGGGCCUCCGCUGCUAGGGUUGAACUUGGAUGUGAUUCCGGCCCAAUUUGUACGCAGUGGACGCCCGCCUCGAUGGAAGCAUUGCUUCCGUUCUAAUGCCCUCGAUACGAAGAUCUUCAACUAGUCAUCCUGUUGUCGGGGUCGGAGGUAAGAGGUUCGAGCGAGGAGAGAUUGAAAUUGACGCUGGUAGUCUUCUACAGACCCUGUCUGCUUCAGAUUUGCUAGCUCUCCCAAAGGGUUGUUGCUUAGAGGCGGGCCAAAGCGGAUAUGAUAGUGGUCUCUGAACUGCUUCCAAGUCAUCUCUGGCUCUUCUUGCUCUAUCUGAUCAUCAAACCAAAGUUGGGCUUCCCCUACCAAGUGGAAGGCCUUGUCAGCCUCUGUGGUCCUUUGGUUGGUAAAGAAUUUUUCGCACCUUUUAACCUAGCUCAUCGGAUCCCCUUCUCUAGAAUAGGUGGGGAACUCCAUCUUUGAGUAUCGCGGAGCCAUGGUGCCGCUAGUUGGCAGUUCAGGUCUGACCCUCGAGCCUCUAGAAGGGUCAUACUCUGUGCUCGUAGGGCUAUCUGCAGUGGGCAAAGGUCGUCGUCUAGCAUCUUGAACAGUACGGGAAAUCUCGACAAUCUGCUCCUCUAGUCCUUGCUGGCUCCAGGUGAUUUGCUCCAUAAAAAGUUGCUGAUGCGAGGUCAAUUUCUCCAUGAAGUCAUCGAGUUUGGAUGUUAUUGGAUCCGUGUCACCCAUAAUCGACUCUGAUACCAAGUUGAUAUGAUCCCGAGUAUAGGAUCGAGUCACAGGUCGAGAUCCGGACCCGUACUUGGUGGUCAUGCAACACGUAAGGGGGAAAGAGAGAAGGAAAGACUCCACUCCUUUUAUAAGGAGUUAAUUAUAUGGACUAUUCAAGGAGAAAAAGGAAAAGACAAUCCCUAAAGGAAACAAGGAAUCAAAUAAAUAAAUGCCCUUUUUUUAUUUUUACUUAUAAUAGUAGCAAAUUUGGGCAGUAGCAGAAUUUGGAGAGUAACCAAAUAGGCAGUAGCAGAUUUAUUCAGUAGCUAAUUAGGUAGUAGCAGAUUUAUUCCAAAUUGUCAAAUUAGGUAGUAGCAGAUUUAUUCCAAGCUAGUUGCUUCCGAUUAUAGUGGCGUUCAACAAAGGCAUCCACAUCAAUGUUUUUCACCACUUUGUUGGUAAUAUUCUUAUAAUUGCUUGGUAAUUCUUAUCCUUAUUUUUCUUGUUCGACAUGAAUUUUCAUUUUAGUCUUCCUUUGUAUUAUUAUUUAUUAGGAAGAUUGCGAAACACUUGUGUCUAGAUUCAUAGAUCGAAUGAUGAAAAGUGAUAGAUAUGGAGAGCGUCGUGGUGUAGCCUUUGGUUUUGCUGGUGUAGCUAAAGGUUUUAGAAUAUUGUGAGGGAAGGUGUUGUGAUCUUCAGUGAAGCUCUUGCGAAACAUUUAGCAAAGGAGGUCUACUAGACACUUGUGUCUAGACUCAUUGAUCGAAUGUUAAAAAGUGAUAGAGAUAUAGAGAGCAUCGUGGUGCAGCCUUUGGUCUUGCUGGUGUAGCUAAAGGUUUUGGAAUCUUGUGAGGGAACUAGAGCCUUUUUGUUGUAUACUUGGAGCAGGAUGAUCCAAAAGUGCAUAUUGUGGAAGAGCAAUUAUUGGAUGUUCUAAACACUCCCUACUAGUUAGUGCAACGAGCAGUCUUUGAUUGUUUAUCUCUAAACAAGAUAUAAAGUGCGUCGUGGUGCAGCCUUUGGUCUUGCUGGUGUUGCUAAAGGUUUUGGAAAGGGAAGGUCUUCACUAGAGCUCUUGCUAAACAUUUAGCAAAGAUGAUCCAGAAGUCCACAUUGUUGUGGAGCAAUUGUUGGAUGUUUUAAACACUCCCUCGGAGCAGUGCAACGAGUAGUCUCGAUUAUUCUUCUCCAUCAAUGACAUCUAAACAGUCUAGACACUUGCGUCUAGACUUAUAGAUCGGAUAAUGAAAAUUGAUAGAUAUGGAGAGCGACGUAGUGCAGUGUUUGGCCUUUGUGAUGGUGGAAGGUGUUGUGAUCUUCACUAGAACUCUUGCAAAACAUUUAGCAAAGUCUUGCAGUGGAUUCUUGCACAGAGUUGCUUUCUUGUUGCUCUGGGAGGUUUAAACUCUAUCAUUCCUUUUGUAAUAUGGGAGCUUGCUUUUCUUGGAAGCUAAGAUUUUUAUACUUGUUUCAGGUUUUCAAGUGUUAGGGGGACUUUAAUCUGCUUCGGCUGUUGCUGAAUUCCUGUGGAAGACUUAAUAAGUUGCUGAAAAUAUGAAGCUGCAUUGGCUCUUGUCUGGUACCACAUAUUAUUAUGUAAAGAAAAUAGUUUGCUUCUUCAUCAUAAGUCAAUGGUGAAUACAUGAAUGCUGGUCUUGUUGAAGUUGAGUUGUGGUGUAAAAAAACAAAGUCUGAGGUUGGUUCUUCAUGGGAUGAAUAACUUAAAACAAGCUAUUGAUUUCUUCAUGAGACAAGCUAUUGAUUUCUUGGGAACCAACACCUGAACUGUAAUUUGAGUUUCAUUUGAUGAUAAUAAAAUCAAAUGACGUCUCAUUGUAAAAGUAUAGAGUUUCCUUUGAUGAUGUAGUCAUUAUCUCUGCCAGGUUCUCAGUAUCUACCAGCUUUACUGAAUUGGCACUCAGUACUGAGAUGACAAGUACAACACUUUUCCAUAGAUGUAACUUCAAGGAAUUAGUUCUCUUUUGUGUAAUAUAUCUAAUCUAACUUCAUGAGGUUUGCAACGAAUCAUCCACUUUCUUGUUCAUGCAUUUGCUUUGCUUGUGGUAUCAAUCAGUGAUUUUAUUGUUUUUCUAUUGACCCUAUUGACAUAUCCAAUUUAUGUAUCUUGAAAAGUCUAUAACUUUACUUUCUCAAGGCAAGUAACUCAGAAGAUAUUGUCAUCAUUUAACAAUUUUGGGCUUUGGGUCUUUAAUGCUAUUAUCCUCUUGUAAGGACGUUAGGACUAACUUGUCCACAAUAACAAUAUUUCUUUUUGAUUAGUGUUCGAAGUGUCUCUUGUAGUAACUUGACUCCUAGAUUGAUGGAAAAAUGGAAUUUGGCCUUGAUCUUAUUAUAAGUAGCAGUUUAGGUUACUUAUUGUCAGAAUGCCAUUUUAGCUCUUCAUUUUUCUCUUUUACAUUGAAGUUGUAUCAACAUCAGUAUGCUUUGUCUAGUAAAGAUUUGAUCUUCUAGAUAGUAAGGGCAAUGAUACCUUUUUUGUUUCUCUUAUUGUGAUGCUGUCUAUUGACCCGAUAAUUGGAGCUAUAGCAGCAGCAAUGUUGUUGCUCUAAAAGCAUAAGAUGUUUCCCCUACCACAUCAUCUUUUUUUGCAAAGGUUUAAAACCAACGUACCUUUUUUAUAUAUACAAGUGUAGAUUCUUACAUGUUGUUUACAUAAUUUUAAUGACUUAUAUAUAGAAUAGUUUUUAUUAGUUGUUCAUAUAUUACCUAAAAACUCUUAUUUAGAUAUCCCAUUUUCUUUAGUAUCUCUUUUCUUUUCCAGAUUUGGGAAGUUAAUCACAUAUAAUAAUGAUUACGUUUGAUUUUCUUUUUUAAUACGCCAUGAUUCAAUGACACUUAAGGUGUAGGAGGAUAAAUUUUCACUUUCCAAAUGUUAAAGUUCUAUUUCAGCAUCUACAUUGGUAGUGAUGUGUUUUGAUAUGCAUCCACUGCCAACCAUUGAUUGUCUUCAAAUUUCUGGUGAUACUUAUCCUAGAAGGUAACUUCAUUCUAGUGGGUAUUCAAUCAAUGGAAUAAGAAGUUGUAAUUUAGAGGUAUAUGUAUUAAUUCUAGUGGGUUCCUAGAAGGUAACUUGAAAAAUAUUGCAGCAUUUUUUUCCUUUUUGAAUUAUUGACAACUGAAUUCAGUCCUACAACAUUUUUUUCUUUUUUGUAGUGGGUACUUUAUUAGAAGGUUGUAGUGGGUACUUUAUUUAGAUGAUGAUUAUGUUAAGUAUAUUGAAGGUAUUUUGUAACUUAACAUGGAUUCUUCUCAUCUUUCUUUUGGAAUUUGAAACUCAUAUUAACUUUAAAUGUCUCUCUCAUUUGUUGAUGAUGUGGGUGCAUACCAUGCUAUUGAAGUUCAACCCCUAGAUGACAAGAAGUGAAAAGUUGUUUCUUUUCUAUCACAAUUUAGCAUUAAUUAAAGGUAUAAUGACCUACUUGAGUUGGAAGGUAAAUCAUACUUUUGAAUUGCUAUUCUGAACAUUCUUCUCCCUGUCCAAACAAAAUAUUUUGGUAUUCGAAACAUUCUUAUUAUUAUUCAUAGCGAGCAAUCUGUUAUCAGAUUAUAAUCAAUAUUUGGUAUUUUGGAUAUUCUUAUGCUAAUAAUCUUCAAGGAUUGUGGGAUUAAACUCUUCUUCCCGUUUGGAUUAUAAUUGAUAUUUAGGUAUUUUGGUUAUUUUUUGUUUGAUAUCCAUGGGAUCAAGUUCGUCUUCCCGAUUGGAUUAUAAUUGGUAUUAUUCAAUUAUUCCAUGGAUUCUUAAUCGUGGCCAUUGAACUAGCUCCUCUUCCUGAUAGGAUUAUAGUUGGUACUCAGUACUUUAGGUAUUCUUGUCAUUCUUAUGCUUAUAUUAUCUUCAUGGUGGUGGAUCGAGCUUUUCUCCCUAGUCAGAUUAUAAUCGAUAUUCAGGUAUUCCGAACAUUCUUUUAGUUUUAAUCUUUAUGAUCGUGGGAUUGAGUUCCUUUGGAUUGGAUUAUAAUCGGUAUUCUGGGCAUGUACUCUUAUUUUUAGCCGUGGGAUCGUGCUUCUCUCCCCGGUAAAAUUUUAGUCGGUACUUAAGUAUUCUGGGCAUUUUUCUUAUUAUUAUCUUCAUGAUUAUAUGAUUGAGCUUUUCUCUCCAAUUAGAUUAUAAUCGGUAUUCUGGUAUUUUGGGCAUUCUUAUGCUUAUUAUCUUCAUGGUUGUGACAUCGAGCUCCUUUACCCGGUCGGAUUAUAAUUAUUCAUUCAAGCAUUCUUAUUAUUGGUUGUGGGAUCGAGGUCUUCUUCUCGAUCAUAUUAUAAUUGUUAUUUUGGUAUUCUAGGUAUUCUUAUGUUUAUUAUCUUCAUUACAAUGGGAUCGAGGUUACCGAUCGGAUUAUAAUCAUCAUUAUUCAGGUAUUCUAGCCUUGCUUAUGCUUGUUAUAUUUAUGGUCAUGGGAUUGAGCUCUUCUCCUUGGUUGGAUUACAGUCGAUGCUCAGAUGAUUGCAGGUGACUAUAAGUAUUAUUGAGGACUACAUAAUAUUUGGUGGCAUAAAAUUUCUAAAUACUAAUGUUUCAAGCCUAGCUAAAAAUACUCGACGACAUUAUUGGAAAUGCCAAGGAGAAAGGGAUGCUUUUAACUCUCCCCGCCGUUGAUCUCCUAGUUCAGAUUGGUCGCCACUUGGUGGACUGAUGGUACUGCUAAACCCAGGGAUUCUCUAAGGAUAACAAUGGAUUUCUUUCACUCGAUUUCCUUUCUUGGAGUUGAAAUUUUGGUUCAUUGGUUUGUAACUCAACCUACUAUAGUGAACUGUUAUGGUGCUGAUGUUUUCAGUUUAAUAAAACUAUACUAAACUGUUAUGGUGUUGAAGUUUGGUUUUCUGUUUCAAAAAGACUGUUUUGAAUCCUGUGCUUCUAAAAUGCAUGAAU